rnacentral:rRNA from 1 species
AGGACGAACGCUGGCGGCGUGCUUAACACAUGCAAGUCGAGCGGUAAGGCCUUUCGGGGUACACGAGCGGCGAACGGGUGAGUAACACGUGGGUGAUCUGCCCUGCACUUCGGGAUAAGCCUGGGAAACUGGGUCUAAUACCGGAUAUGACCUCCUAUCGCAUGGUGGGUGGUGGAAAGAUUUAUCGGUGCAGGAUGGGCCCGCGGCCUAUCAGCUUGUUGGUGGGGUAAUGGCCUACCAAGGCGACGACGGGUAGCCGACCUGAGAGGGUGACCGGCCACACUGGGACUGAGACACGGCCCAGACUCCUACGGGAGGCAGCAGUGGGGAAUAUUGCACAAUGGGCGAAAGCCUGAUGCAGCGACGCCGCGUGAGGAUGACGGCCUUGGGUUCGUAACUCUUCAGCAGGACGAAGCGCAAGUGACGGUACCUGACAGAAGAAGCGAACCGACGUAACUACGUGCCAGCAGCCGC